UACGUAGGGUGCAAGCGUUGUCCGGAAUUAUUGGGCGUAAAGGGCUCGUAGGCGGUCCAUCACGUCGGGAGUGAAAAGCUGGGGCUUAACCCCAGUCCUGCUUCCGAUACGGGUGGACUAGAGGUAGGCAGGGGAGAACGGAAUUCCUGGUGUAGCGGUGAAAUGCGCAGAUAUCAGGAGGAACACCAAUAGCGAAGGCAGCUCGCUGGGACGGUACUGACGCUAAGGCGCGAAAGCGUGGGGAGCGAACAGG
rnacentral:rRNA from 1 species